rnacentral:rRNA from 1 species
GUGCCAGCCGCCGCGGUAAUACGUAGGGGGCAAGCGUUAUCCGGAAUCACUGGGCGUAAAGGGUGCGUAGGUGGCUUAUCAAGCCAGAGGUGAAAGGCAGUGGCUCAACCAUUGUAAGCCUUUGGAACUGAUUAGCUUGAGUGCAGGAGAGGUAAGUGGAAUUCCUAGUGUAGAGGUGAAAUUCGUAGAUAUUAGGAGGAACACCAGUGGCGAAGGCGACUUACUGGACUGUAACUGACACUGAGGCACGAAAGCGUGGGUAGCGAACAGGAUUAGAAACCCGCGUAGUCC